rnacentral:sRNA from 1 species
UGGCUGUCGUCAGCUCGUGUCGUGAGAUGUUGGGUUAAGUCCCGCAACGAGCGCAACCCCUGUCCUAUGUUGCCAGCGGAUUAUGCCGGGGACUCAUAGGAGACUGCCGGGGACAACUCGGAGGAAGGCGGGGAUGACGUCAAGUCAUCAUGCCCCUUAUGUCCAGGGCUGCACGCAUGCUACAAUGGCGAGUACAACGGGCUGCGAUCCCGCGAGGGUGAGCCAAUCCCUUAAAACUCGUCUCAGUUCGGAUUGGAGUCUGCAACUCGACUCCAUGAAGCCGGAGUCGCUAGUAAUCGCGGAUCAGCUAUGCCGCGGUGAAUACGUUCUCGGGGCUUGUACACACCGCCCGUCACAUCACGAAAGUCGGCAACACCCGAAGUCAGUGGCCCAACCCCUCGGGGAGGGAGCUGCCGAAGGUGGGGCUGGCGAUUGGGAUGAAGUCGUAACAAGGUAGCCGUACGGGAACGUGCGGCUGGAUCACCUCCUUUCUAAGGAGCCAAUGAGGCCUCAGGCCUCUAGCUUCGAGUCAAUCCGACUGGCUACUCGGCUGGCCGCAAGGUGAGCCGGACACACUGUUCAGUCGUGAGGGAGCGGGGAAGCCCGCUUCUCUCCGGCACCUUGAGAACUGCAUAGCGAGCACAAGCGUCUUGGAUUCAACCAUCAAGCUACUAAGGGUUUACGGUGGAUGCCUUGGCA